UACGAAGGGGGCUAGCGUUGUUCGGAAUUACUGGGCGUAAAGCGCACGUAGGCGGAUUGUUAAGUGAGGGGUGAAAUCCCAGGGCUCAACCCUGGAACUGCCUCUCAUACUGGCAAUCUCGAGUUCGAGAGAGGUGAGUGGAAUUGCGAGUGUAGAGGUGAAAUUCGUAGAUAUUCGCAGGAACACCAGUGGCGAAGGCGGCUGACUGGACAUGUAUUGACGCUGAGGUGCGAAAGCGUGGGGAGCAAACAGG
rnacentral:rRNA from 1 species